UUUCAGUGAAUUAAAGAAUGAAGAGAAAUCAACUUAUUUAUACCCAAGCUGACCAACUGUCAAGAAAAAGAAGACAAGGCAACUCCAUCUGAAGGAAAUUAAAAGAAAAGAUUUUAUCAUUACAACAAUAGAUGUGAAAAUGUUAUUUUUUCAAUCUAAAACACACAUAACAAAAAAUACACUUAAAAAAUACUGUUCAAGAUUGAUUCUUAAAAUAUCAGUCUUACUUUUUUUAUAUACUUGAAGAUGUAUUGUAAAAGUAAAUUUGUUAGAUUAAAGUUUUUCAAGGCUUGAAUUAUCUCCCCUUAUUAAUCUCCAAAAAACUUUAUGCAAGACUAUUUGUUUUCCAACUCCUAGAAUUCUAAAUGUU
rnacentral:lncRNA from 1 species